rnacentral:rRNA from 1 species
AACGAACGCUGGCGGCAUGCCUAACACACGCAAGUCGAACGAAGCCUUCGGGCUUAGUGGCGCACGGGUGCGUAACGCGUGGGAAUCUGCCCUUGGGUUCGGAAUAACAGUUAGAAAUGACUGCUAAUACCGGAUGAUGUCUUCGGACCAAAGAUUUAUCGCCCAAGGAUGAGCCCGCGUCGGAUUAGCUAGUUGGGGAGGUAAAGGCUCACCAUGGCGACGAUCCGUAGCUGGUCUGAGAGGAUGAUCAGCCACACUGGGACUGAGACACGGCCCAGACUCCUACGGGAGGCAGCAGUGGGGAAUAUUGGACAAUGGGCGAAAGCCUGAUCCAGCAAUGCCGCGUGAGUGAUGAAGGCCUUAGGGUUGUAAAGCUCUUUUACCCGGGAUGAUAAUGACAGUACCGGGAGAAUAAGCCCCGGCUAACUCCGUGCCAGCCGCCGCCGUAAAAC